rnacentral:sRNA from 1 species
GAACCAAAACGCUCGUUCUUCAAAUGCUCAGCUCAAUUUGUUGGGUUCAAGGUGGUCAGGAGCUCGUCUCGGAUGCUUUUGAUCGUUUUGAAAAGGAUUUCCGUGAGCCCCGACGCUUCUGGACUCUUAUGCAAUUUGUGAGCCAUCCACCGGAAUUCCACGUCGAAUUUCUCUCGUCUGCCGUUCAAUUUUUCUAUUAUUUUGUGAAUGUUGAUGAUCUCAACUUUCGUGUUCAUUUACAG